UCCAGACUCCUACGGGAGGCAGCAGUCGGGAAUAUUGCGCAAUGGAGGAAACUCUGACGCAGUGACGCCGCGUGCAGGAAGAAGGUUUUCGGAUUGUAAACUGCUUUAGACAGGGAAGAAAAAAGACAGUACCUGUAGAAUAAGCUCCGGCUAACUACGUGCCAGCAGCCGCGGUAAUACGUAGGGAGCAAGCGUUAUCCGGAUUUAUUGGGUGUAAAGGGUGCGUAGACGGGAAUGCAAGUUGGUUGUGAAAUCCCUCGGCUUAACUGAGGAACUGCAACCAAAACUACAUUUCUUGAGUGCUGGAGAGGAAAGUGGAAUUCCUAGUGUAGCGGUGAAAUGCGUAGAUAUUAGGAGGAACACCAGUGGCGAAGGCGGUCUGCUGGACAGCAACUGACGGUGAGGCGCGAAAGCGUGGGGAGCAAACAGGAUUAGAUACCCCCGUAC
rnacentral:rRNA from 1 species